AUUUAUAUGGGUCCGUCUUUAGA
rnacentral:piRNA from 1 species